AUUGAACGCUGGCGGCGUGCCUUACACAUGCAAGUCGAACGGCAGCACGGGAGCAAUCCUGGUGGCGAGUGGCGAACGGGUGAGUAAUGUAUCGGAACGUGCCCAUUCGUGGGGGAUAACGUAGCGAAAGCUACGCUAAUACCGCAUACGAUCUAUGGAUGAAAGCGGGGGAUCGCAAGACCUCGCGCGAUUGGAGCGGCCGAUAUCAGAUUAGGUAGUUGGUGGGGUAAAGGCUCACCAAGCCGACGAUCUGUAGCUGGUCUGAGAGGACGACCAGCCACACUGGAACUGAGACACGGUCCAGACUCCUACGGGAGGCAGCAGUGGGGAAUUUUGGACAAUGGGCGAAAGCCUGAUCCAGCAAUGCCGCGUGCAGGAUGAAGGCCUUCGGGUUGUAAACUGCUUUUGUACGGAACGAAACGGUGAGCUCUAAUACAGUUUGCUAAUGACGGUACCGUAAGAAUAAGCACCGGCUAACUCCGUGCCAGCAGCCGCCGUAA
rnacentral:rRNA from 1 species